CCUACGGGAGGCAGCAGUGAGGAAUAUUGGUCAAUGGACGAGAGUCUGAACCAGCCAAGUAGCGUGAAGGAUGACUGCCCUAUGGGUUGUAAACUUCUUUUAUAUGGGAAUAAAAUGUUCCACGUGUGGGAUUUUGUAUGUACCAUAUGAAUAAGGAUCGGCUAACUCCGUGCCAGCAGCCGCGGUAAUACGGAGGAUCCGAGCGUUAUCCGGAUUUAUUGGGUUUAAAGCGAGCGUAGGUGGAUUGUUAAGUCAGUUGUGAAAGUUUGCGGCUCAACCGUAAAAUUGCAGUUGAAACUGGCAGUCUUGAGUACAGUAGAGGUAGGCGGAAUUCGUGGUGUAGCGGUGAAAUGCUUAGAUAUCACGAAGAACUCCGAUUGCGAAGGCAGUUCACUGGACUGCAACUGACACUGAGGCACGAAAGUGUGGGUAUCAAACAGGAUUAGAUACCCGAGUAGUC
rnacentral:rRNA from 1 species